rnacentral:rRNA from 1 species
GAGCUUUGAUCCUGGCUCAGAGUGAACGCUGGCGGCAGGCCUAACACAUGCAAGUCGAACGGCAGCACAGCAGUAGCAAUACUGUGGGUGGCGAGUGGCGGACGGGUGAGGAAUGCAUCGGAAUCUGCCUAUUUGUGGGGGAUAACGUAGGGAAACUUACGCUAAUACCGCAUACGUCCUACGGGAGAAAGUGGGGGACCUUCGGGCCUCACGCAGAUAGAUGAGCCGAUGCCGGAUUAGCUAGUUGGCGGGGUAAAGGCCCACCAAGGCGACGAUCCGUAGCUGGUCUGAGAGGAUGAUCAGCCACACUGGAACUGAGACACGGUCCAGACUCCUACGGGAGGCAGCAGUGGGGAAUAUUGGACACGGGGCGCAAGCCUGAUCCAGCCAUGCCGCGUGUGUGAAGAAGGCCUUCGGGUUGUAAAGCACUUUUGUCCGGAAAGAAAA